GGCCGCAUCCUUGCGAUGCGCGACCUCAGUCCGCCCCAGGGUAUUACGCAACGGGCUAUAACACUCCCCGAAGAGAGCCACAUUCCCGAAGUCUUUAUCCCCCAGGGAAAACUGAUGCUGGCCUGGACUGGAAAAGUGCACUGGGGAGAACCCCGGAUGAUUAACCAAGCCCAAGUCUGGUCAUAAACGCUUCCCUUUCAACAAUUUCACGUACUGUUUAACUCUCUUUUCAAAGUGCUUUUCAUCUUUCGAUCACUCUACUUGUGCGCUAUCGGUCUCUGGCCGGUAUUUAGCUUUAGAAGACAUAUACCUCCCAUUUAGAGCAGCAUUCCCAAACUACUCGACUCGUCGAAGGAACUUUACAGAGAAUUGGCGUCCAACCAGACGGGGCUCUCACCCUCUAUGGCGUCCCGUUCCAGGGAACUCGGAAGGCACCGCAUCAAAAGUAUCCUCUACAAAUUACAACUCGGGCCCGAGAGCCAGAUUUCAAAUUUGAGCUGUUGCCGCUUCACUCGCCGUUACUAGGGCAAUCCCUGUUGGUUUCUUUUCCUCCGCUUAUUGAUAUGCUUAAGUUCAGCGGGUAUUCCUACCUGAUCCGAGGUCAACAUUCAGAAGUUGGGGGUUUAACGGCUUGGCCGCGCCGCGCACCAGUUGCGAGGGGUUUACUACUACGCAAUGGAAGCUGCAGCGAGACCGCCAUAGAUUUCGGGGACGGCUUGCCGCAAGGGCUCGCCGAUCCCCAACACCAAACCCGGGGGCUUGAGGGUUGAAAUGACGCUCGAACAGGCAUGCCCGCCAGAAUACUGGCGGGCGCAAUGUGCGUUCAAAGAUUCGAUGAUUCACUGAAUUCUGCAAUUCACAUUACUUAUCGCAUUUUGCUGCGUUCUUCAUCGAUGCCAGAACCAAGAGAUCCGUUGUUGAAAGUUUUAUUUAUUUAUGGGUUUACUCCGAAAUUACAUAUAGAAACAGAGAUUAGGGGUCCUCUGGGGGGGCGUCCCGUUUUACCGCGAGCGGGCUGAUCCGCCGAGACAACAAUUGUUAUGUUCCAAGGGGUUUGGGAGUUGUAAACUCCGUAAUGAUCCUCCGCAGUU
rnacentral:misc_RNA from 1 species